AGUUCGGAUUGCAGGCUGNAACCCGCCUGCAUGAAGUUGGAAUCACUAGUAAUCGCGGAUCAGCAUGCCGCGGUGAAUGCGUUCUCGGGCCUUGUACACACCGCCCGUCACACCAUGAGAGUCGGGAACACCCGAAGUCCGUAGCCUAACCGCAAGGGGGGCGCGGCCGAAGGUGGGCUCGAUAAUUGGGGUGAAGUCGUAACAAGGUAGC
rnacentral:rRNA from 1 species